rnacentral:lncRNA from 1 species
UGCUAGGUUUCACGCUUUGCAUAGCAAAGUGUAGUGGACUUAGCGUGGCAAAAAUGAGGCGUCGUCCCAGGAGCAAGCUCAGGUAGCCUUCCAUCCAUGAGCCAAUCUGCUAAUCCAGUGCCAGGUGCUGUCGAACACAUCAUUGUUGAAUAAAACCCAGUGUUUUGCCCUCCAGGAGCCUAAGGUCUGGUUUGCUGGAUAUCGAAAAUCCUGAUUAACUCUUACGUCGCCUAUAAAACUCCCAGCACACAAGUCGGUUCCCAACGCCUGGACGAUUAGCCCUGAGCUAACAUCUGCCGCCAAUCCUCCUCUUUUUGCUGAGGACGACUGGCCCUGAGCUAACAUCCAUGCCCAUCUUCCUCUACUUUCUAUGCGGGACGCCUACCACAGCAUGGUGUGCCUAAGCGGUGCCAUGUCCGCACCUGGGAUCCAAACCUGCGAACCCCGGGCCGCCGAAGUGGAACGUGCGAACUUAACUGCUGCGCCACAGGGCCAGCCCCCUGCGUUUCUAACAAGUUCUCAGGUGAUGAGUAUGCUGCUGGGGGAGGAACCACCAGCACCUGGUUUGUAAAUCAUUUUAUUGGAACACAGCCAUGUCAGAGACUGAAUGACCUGCAAGCCUGAAAUCUUUGCUCUCUGGCCCUUUAUAGAGAAAGUGUGCUUCCCCAUAAUAUAUAUGUGAUCAGUGCUGAGCAUUUUCUAUUGAGUUCAUAUUUUAUUCUCAAGAGCUCUUUUAUAUGUUAAGACAUUGCUUAACAAAUUAGCCCACAAAAGUAUGGUAUGGGGGAAUAGAUGCCUAUUUUGAAGUGUUAGGGAGUAUAACUAACAUGACACUUCUUUUAAGUCUUUUGUUUUUUCUAAAAGUAAUCUGAAUUUUUUAUUCCAGAAGCAUCAGUGUUUGGUUUAAUAUGAAACAUUUUUCCUCCUUAAUCUUUGAAUAAAGCUGAUGCUACUAAAUAUGUUGUAUUUAAUCCUGCUUUCACUGUGUUUGAGAAAUACGCUACUGAGAUUUGCAAUUUUUGGUCAUAAGUUUCAAAUAUUUGUUCUAUGCUUUGAAUUCAAAUCGUCAAUCUUUUUCUUUCCCCUGUCUUCUCUACCCCAAGAUUUUAUAUAUUCACUUAUAUUUUCUCUUAGUUUUUUUUUAUAUUGAGCUAUAAUUAAUGCAAUAUUUGUAUUGGAGUGUGGUAUGAAGAUUAUUUUUUCCUUUACACUUACUCCAGCACCAUUUAUUCAUUAAUUUAUCCUUUUCUUAU